rnacentral:rRNA from 1 species
AUUGAACGCUGGCGGCAGGCCUAACACAUGCAAGUCGAACGGUAACAGRGAGCAGCUUGCUGCUCUGCUGACGAGUGGCGGACGGGUGAGUAAUGUCUGGGAAACUGCCUGAUGGAGGGGGAUAACUACUGGAAACGGUAGCUAAUACCGCAUAACGUCUWCGGACCAAAGUGGGGGACCUUCGGGCCUCAUGCCAUCAGAUGUGCCCAGAUGGGAUUAGCUAGUAGGUGGGGUAACGGCUCACCUAGGCGACGAUCCCUAGCUGGUCUGAGAGGAUGACCAGCCACACUGGAACUGAGACACGGUCCAGACUCCUACGGGAGGCAGCAGUGGGGAAUAUUGCACAAUGGGCGCAAGCCUGAUGCAGCCAUGCCGCGUGUAUGAAGAAGGCCUUCGGGUUGUAAAGUACUUUCAGCGGGGAGGAAGGYGUUGUGGUUAAUAACCRCAGCRAUUGACGUUACCCGCAGAAGAAGCACCGGCUAACUCC